CCUACGGGAGGCAGCAGUGGGGAAUAUUGUGCAAUGGGGGAAACCCUGACACAGCGACGCCGCGUGAGUGAAGAAGGCCUUCGGGUCGUAAAGCUCAAUAGUAUGGGAAGAAAGAAAUGACGGUACCAGACGAAAGCCCCGGCGAACUCACGUGCCAGCAGCCGCGGUAAU
rnacentral:rRNA from 1 species